rnacentral:rRNA from 1 species
AGUAACACGUGACUAAUCUACCCUCGAGUGGGGAAUACUGAGAGAAAUCUCAGCUAAUACCGCAUAACACUUACGAGUCAAAGCAGCAAUGCGCUUGGGGAGGAGGUCGCGGCCGAUUAGCUAGUUGGCGGGGUAAUGGCCCACCAAGGCGAUGAUCGGUAUCCGGGCCUGAAAGGGCGCACGGACACACUGAACUGAAACACGGUCCAGACUCCUACGGGAGGCACAGUGGGGAAUUUUGCGCAAUGGGGGAAACCCUGACGCAGAACGCCGCGUGGAGGAUGAAAUAUCUUGGUAUGUAAACUUCCUUUCGAUGGGGAAGAUUAUGACGGUACCCAUAGAAGAAGCCCCGGCUUAAUUUCGUGCCAGCAGCGGGUAAUACGAGGGGGGCAAGCGUUGUCGGAUUAUUGGGCGUAAGGGGUGCGUAGGGGUUUGAUAAGUCUGGUGUGAAUCUAAGGGGUUCAACCAUAUUGAUAAAAUGUCGGUUGAUUAUGGGG